AAUUUUGGACAAUGGGGGCAACCCUGAUCCAGCCAGCCCGCGUGUGCGAUGAAGGCCUUCGGUUUGUAAAGCACGUUUGGCAGGGAAGAAAAGCCGCGGGUUAAUAUCCUGCGGUGCUGCCGGUACCUGCAGAAUAAGCACCGGCUAACUACGUGCCAUCAGCCUCGGUAAUACGUAGGGUUCAAGCGUUAAUCGGAAUUACUGGGCGUAAAGCGUGAGCAGGCGGUUCGGCAAGAAGGAUGUGAAAUCCCGGGGCUUAACCUCGGAACUGCAUUCUUAACUGCCGGGCUAGAGUAUGUCAGAGGGGGGUAGAAUUCCGCGUGUAGCAGUGAAAUGCGUAGAGAUGCGGAGGAAUACCGAUGGCGAAGGCAGCCCCCUGGGAUAAUACUGACGCUCAUGCACGAAAGCGUGGGGAGCAAAC
rnacentral:rRNA from 1 species